CUAGUUCCUUCGACAUCAAUGUAAUCUAAUAAUCAUGAUUUUUUUUGGUUAAUGAUUAUUAGAUUACAUUGAUGUCGAAGGAAAUA